rnacentral:rRNA from 1 species
UACGUAGGGGGCAAGCGUUGUCCGGAAUCAUUGGGCGUAAAGCGCGCGUAGGCGGCCCGGUAAGUCCGUUGUGAAAGUCAAAGGCUCAACCUUUGAACGCCGAUGGAUACUGCCGGGCUAGAGUCCGGAAGAGGCGAGUGGAAUUCCUGGUGUAGCGGUGGAAUGCGCAGAUAUCAGGAGGAACACCAAUAGCGAAGGCAGCUCGCUGGGACGGUACUGACGCUGAGGCGCGAAAGCCAGGGGAGCGAACGGG